rnacentral:lncRNA from 1 species
GAGCACCCACGGGCUACAAUGUAGCUUCAUCCCUGACUGGGGUAUUUUAGACGGAAUCAAUCACAUGUACAAGGCGUAGCUUUUGUUCUUUAUUUAUAUAAAGUAAAAAGCUGGAUCCGUAUAAUUAUAAGAAAUGAUACAAGUUGGGUUGUGUUGGCCACCCUCCCUUUUAGUUCUGGGGUAGGAUUCGUAUAGUAUCAAAAAAAAAAAGGGAUGAUUUGCAUUGGGAUUGGGAGUGUCAUGGAUCGCUGCUUUUGAAAAAAGUGAAAAGGCCAGCACCAUAUAUAAUCCCUGUUGAUUGGUUGAGUAGCUAGGGAAGCAUCGAUUCCUUGUCCUGUUUCCCGUACUAGCCGAAGCUUGGAAUUAAUUAGCAUGGAUUCCUUGUCCUGUUUUCUUGUUCUAUAGUAAAGCGUUCAAAAUGAGCUGUCGCAAAAAAAAAAAAGAGCUGUAGUUUUUUUAAUCAAUAAUCAGUUUCGUAGUAGCUUCUUCACUUAUUCAGAAACUUGCGUGCUCUGCUCCCUCAUCAAUCAAGAACCGAAAAAGAAAAAGAAAAAGAAACAUGCGUUUGGCCGGUUUGUCAGUUACUGGUUAAUUUAAUUAAUAGUGGUACGAGAUCUGAGACUCAGAGUUGCUCUCCAGUUCAUCCGGAC